rnacentral:rRNA from 1 species
AUUGAACGCUGGCGGCAUGCCUUACACAUGCAAGUCGAACGGCAGCACGGGAGCAAUCCUGGUGGCGAGUGGCGAACGGGUGAGUAAUAUAUCGGAACGUGCCCAGUCGUGGGGAUAACGUAGCGAAAGCUACGCUAAUACCGCAUACGAUCUAUGGAUGAAAGCGGGGGAUCGCAAGACCUCGCGCGAUUGGAGCGGCCGAUAUCAGAUUAGGUAGUUGGUGAGGUAAAGGCUCACCAAGCCGACGAUCUGUAGCUGGUCUGAGAGGACGACCAGCCACACUGGGACUGAGACACGGCCCAGACUCCUACGGGAGGCAGCAGUGGGGGAAUUUUGGACAAUGGGCGCAAGCCUGAUCCAGCAAUGCCGCG